rnacentral:rRNA from 1 species
UACGAAGGGGGCUAGCGUUGCUCGGAAUCACUGGGCGUAAAGCGCACGUAGGCGGAUUGCUAAGUCAGGGGUGAAAUCCCGGAGCUCAACUCCGGAACUGCCUUUGAUACUGGCGAUCUUGAGUCCGGGAGAGGUGAGUGGAACUGCGAGUGUAGAGGUGAAAUUCGUAGAUAUUCGCAAGAACACCAGUGGCGAAGGCGGCUCACUGGCCCGGUACUGACGCUGAGGCACGAAAGCGUGGGGAGCAAACAGG